rnacentral:rRNA from 1 species
UGAGGAAUAUUGGUCAAUGGACGCAAGUCUGAACCAGCCAAGUAGCGUGCAGGAUGACGGCCCUAUGGGUUGUAAACUGCUUUUAUAUGGGGAUAAAGUGGGGAACGUGUUCCCUUUUGCAGGUACCAUAUGAAUAAGGACCGGCUAAUUCCGUGCCAGCAGCCGCGGUAAUACGGAAGGUUCGGGCGUUAUCCGGAUUUAUUGGGUUUAAAGGGAGCGUAGGCCGUUUGGUAAGCGUGUUGUGGAAUGUAGGAGCUCAACUUCUAGAUUGCAGCGCGAACUGUCAGACUUGAGUGCGCACAACGUAGGCGGAAUUCAUGGUGUAGCGGUGAAAUGCUUAGAUAUCAUGAAGAACUCCGAUUGCGAAGGCAGCGUACGGGAGCGAAACUGACGCUGAAGCUCGAAGGUGCGGGUAUCGAACAGG